CUUUCAGUCUGAUGUUUGCAGC
rnacentral:miRNA from 1 species